rnacentral:lncRNA from 1 species
AUUUUUAAUUGUGGCUGAAGUUUACCACUGAAAUACUGCAUGGAGAGUUUUUUUUUCUUCUGAGAUUGGUGUCAAUGUCUAAGAUAUAAAAGUAGUGUGGUGCUCUUGUAAGAGAUUUUAUAUAGUUUUUGGGAGGUUAUACUGCACCUUUGCUCCUGACACAUGGAUGACAAGAGGGGACAGCAAGAAUUGAAAAUUAGAGUAAGGAUUAUGUCCAGUAGACUCAGAUGAUAAAAAUUAAGGAACGUUAUGAAGCUAGCCACAUCCACAACUGAAGUGUGCACUUAGCAUGGAAAACUGAGUUUCCAGCUAUGCUUAUCUGGUGAGAAGUUACAGUGUAGGGAAUAAGACUGCUUGAGUUACUUUGAUUGCCUUUGAAUUAAAGACAAUUUUGUUAAAAACAAGGCAGAAAAUGGCGUCAUGAAUUGGGCAGAUGCAAGAAAAGCUGCAAGAUGCUCCCAAGGACAUGAGAAUGAAAUCUGUAAGUCAGAAUAGUGGAGUGGUGGAUAAAGGUAGUGCAGGGCACAUCUUUACAUUGGCACUGACAGUGUUAGCUUUAUGUGGUCAUCACCUGGAAACAUAUAUACACUAUUUAAAUUUUUUUUUUGUAGCUACCAAAAGAAUUGGAAUUGUUCUUCUGAGAGAAGAAAGUUGCUGGAAGUGCCAGAAAUGUGUACGUGCUCCAUGGGUGUGCUCAGGUGAUGCAGACCAGCAAGUCAUGGCUCUCUUGUACAACCCCAUUACUCAGGUUACUCCUGAAGAUCUGGAUUCAGCUGCCCUGCCCUGA